rnacentral:snoRNA from 1 species
UUCGGUGAUGAUUCCAAAUUAUAAGCAUAGUUCAACUGAAGGCCUCCGGGUCCUGAACGACAAACUUUACAUCUUUCACCUUUUCUGAAC